GCGCCCGGCGGUUCGGGGGACGCCUGCGACUUGCGCUCGCCGUCGGCGACCAGGGGUUCGUCGCCCGCCGGGAGCA
rnacentral:tRNA from 1 species